rnacentral:rRNA from 1 species
GAUGAACGCUGGCGGCGUGCCUAAUACAUGCAAGUCGAGCGAACAGACGAGGAGCUUGCUCCUCUGACGUUAGCGGCGGACGGGUGAGUAACACGUGGAUAACCUACCUAUAAGACUGGGAUAACUUCGGGAAACCGGAGCUAAUACCGGAUAACAUGUUGAACCGCAUGGUUCAACAGUGAAAGACGGUCUUGCUGUCACUUAUAGAUGGAUCCGCGCCGCAUUAGCUAGUUGGUAAGGUAACGGCUUACCAAGGCAACGAUGCGUAGCCGACCUGAGAGGGUGAUCGGCCACACGGGAACUGAGACACGGUACAGACUCCUACGGGAGGAAGCAGUAGGGAAUCUUCCGCAAUGGGCGAAAGCCUGACGGAGCAACGCCGCGUGAGUGAAGAAGGUCUUCGGAUCGUAAAGCUCUGUUAUUAGGGAAGAACAAAUGUGUAAGUAACUAUGCACGUCUUGACGGUACCUGAUCAGAAAGCCACGGCUAACUACGUG